rnacentral:rRNA from 1 species
GCAAGUCGAACGGUGACCCAUCUUCGGAUGGCGAUCAGUGGCGAACGGGUGAGUAACACGUGGGCAACCUGCCCCUAGCUCUGGGAUAACUCCUCGAAAGAGGUGCUAAUACCGGAUAUCAUCUUCCUCGGCAUCGCGGAAGAUUGAAAGUUUUUCGGCUAGGGAUGGGCCCCCGGCCUAUCAGCUUGUUGGUGGGGUAAUGGCCUACCAAGGCGACGACGGGUAGCCGGCCUGAGAGGGCGACC